AAGCUUUUAAAAGGACAGAAUCAGCCAGAAUGAUCCGUUAGCUUCAGAUCCCUGCGUCCUUUUGUUGUUCUUGGCUUAGAUGGGGCUAUCACACCUAGGCUUUAGAAAUAACAUGUAUAUGUACAGAUAAAAGCCACCCAUAAGGAAUGGCACACAAGCCUUGUUCCUUGAGGGCAUACCACAGCAUUUGCCCUUCACUACCCAUCUACAAGCUUCUCAUUAAUAAGAAAAGAAACACCUAUAAGGUGAAGCUAUUCUUAGCUAGUGUGUCCUCAGCUCUUUUCUUCUUAUGCUUACAGAGACAUAGUCCUUAGCUAAUGAUUUUCUUCUAAAUGCUUUGAGGCUGGCAAGAACCAUAACAGCUAAUAUUCUUAUCUGGAGCAAUCCAGGAACAAGCCCAGGAGAUAGGCUAAAUGUUACAGAUUCGGAAUAAGAGAGAAGUUUUAUUCAACUUGAUUCUCCAACACCUAGCACAGUGCCUGGCACAUAGCAGCUUGCCAACACUGAUUCUACCACUGGCCUCUCUACAGAGAAAUAAUGGACCAUUAAGAAGGAAAAUGCAGAGGGUCUAUACUGCAUUUCACUAUCGGAGAACAGAGAAACCAUCGCAAGCAUUUCACUAAAUCAAUAAGCAAGUACAGGUGUGAAGAAGCCAAAGAUCUAGAAAUACCUUCCUCUUUAUUAAUACAAUAACACAUCAAAAUCUAUCUGGAAAAAAAUAUAUUUGGAAAUCUAGGAAAGCUAUCAUUCCUUUGUGUUUCCAAGACAGGAAGCACAUAGUACAGGUGGCGUCCCCAUGAAAUAAUUAAUUGACCUGCCUGGAGAACAAAUAAAUCACACACUCAAUAUGCUGCUUGGAAUUUUCAGCUCAUUUCUGCAGCACUGCUGUGCAGCACGGCUAACGUAUGAGAUAAGGAAAAUGAAAGCUAAAAGAGCUCACUCUUCAAAGCCAUCCACCUAAUUAUCAAUAAUGAGAGGAUGAGAGAGAUGGAAAGAACUAACAUUUUAUUGACUACCUGCAGUAUCAGCAGUAAUGACUGUGAAGACAAAUACCAGUGCUUGAGCAUUUGAAGAAAAAGGAAAGAAAGAGAGAGAAAAAGAAGGACAUAGAAAAUGUAACAGGGAAAUUAUACCUGAAUUUUUAUGUGGAAGUUCUAGUUAUAAAUCA